CCAGGUUACCUGGACCAUUCAUAUCCAGGCCUGCCUAUGUCACUGGGAAAUGUUUGUCCUUGGGCGCCAAGACAGAGUCUUUGUGUUUUCAGCAGAUCUGAAUUUUCAGUGGGAUUUGAGUAUACGGAAUUGGAUUUAAAAUCCCUGACUUAAUAUGUGCUGUCCUCUUUAGUGCAAGGAUCUCUCUCUUUUUUAUUUUCUAUGUUUUACUGUGAUAAUUAUGUAUGGACCCAUUACAUAGCCCAGGAACCUCCAGAGAUCACCACUCUACUUAAUUUAGCUUAGAUGUAAUGGUCAAAUUGCAAGGGAAAUUUUAACAAAUACUUGCCUUAAUAAUCUCAAAAAGGAAUAGCCCAGAUAGUCCUGGGAUUACCAAGGAACUGAAGUAGCCAUUUUAUUUCUUCCCCCAAGAAAAACAAUGGGCUCAGAAGGAUUUAAAGAAGGAUUCUACCCAGCUUCCAGGUCUAGAUAGUUCCUUAGACAAACCCUUCCAUGGAAUAGAAAAGGGGGCAGUACUUCUCCAGCUCCUCCUGAGGGGAUGUUGACUAGAGAGGGAUUUCAGAGAAGGAAAUCAGUCCAAUUCACUGAUCAAUGUAUACAUAAGACUCUUAAAAUGUCAGAAAAAUAGAUCUAAUCAAGUAUGGAUGGGGUUAGGGUGAGAGACAAUACACUACCACCAAUUUGAGUUUGUCCCAGGAACAAAAGAGUGAUGAUUAGUACUUACUAAGCACCUACCCAGUGCCAGGGGCUGGUCUAGCUCUGCAGGAUAUUGGUGUAAGAGGGAGACCUGGUCCCCAUCCUCAUGGAAUUUACACUCCCAAGUGGGAGAUAUUCCAUCCAUGUGCAUUUAAACAAAUAAGAUUAUUUUAGAGAUUUGUAAGUGCUAUGGGGGAAAUAAAAUAGGUCAAUGUGACAGAGAGUGACUGGACGCAGCUAUUUUAAAUUGGGGAGAUGAUCUUUGCAAAGGGAGGUUGACCCUUGUGAGGAAUAAUGAGGCAGCCAGAUGAAAACUGAGACAGAAAGUAUGUGAGACAAUGAGAGCAGAGUCCCUGAGCAGGAAUGAGAUUAGCUUGUUUAAAGGCAGCAGGAGUCCAGUAGGGCUGGAGCCCAGCAACUGAGACCUUGGUGACCCACGACGGGGCAUACCUGGCUUGCAAUACCCAGGUGGGUUGUUCCUUCAUGUUAACUUUAAAAUGCAAUUUGUUAAGAAGUACAAAAAAAGAUGUUAUGGGAGAAGUACACUCAGGUUCAUUUCCAAAUGAGUCACUCUGGGAUUGCCCUGGUUUGGGUUCCACUCCCUUCUCCCCAGAACCCACCUGGAUUUGCUCAAACUUUCUGAUCCUUUGCUUUUUGACUGAGCCCAGCUGUAUAUUUCCUGGGUCUCUCCCCAGCCCUGAGGGUUGGCAAUAAAGCCUUCCUGCAGGUUGUUCUCUCCCCAAGACACCAGAAGACAGGGGCUAAGCUAACUGAGCAGGAGUUGCCCUGCCACACAUAGCGAGAGCCACCACCUUCUGCAGUCCACCAGCCAUCACUCUGCUGCCUGAGGUGCACAUCCUCCUGGGGUUCGCCUGCCCCACCUCCAUGUUUGAAACACCCCACUGCAUUGCCACUUUGGUAGGACCUUCAGCCAAUUCAGUCCUUCACUGUCCCCCCAUGGAACAGGUAUCUUCCCAAGCUCAGCCAGUUAGACAUUCUGUCUUCAUUCAUUGGCUCGCUCACUCAUCCCAUGUGUAUCAUGCUCCUGUCAUGUGCCAAGCAAUCCAAAUCUUCAGCGGAGAGAUGAAGAAAUGGGACAUGGCUGCUGCCCUCUCGUCCCAUCUGUGGAGCUGAUAGAGAGAUGACCCAUUCUUCUCUCAGAAGGGAUCCUAUCUCUUCUCAGGCUGCUUUUUUCUUUAAAUUCUGUUAGCUACCACAAAUCCCUUCCGUCCCCCCAUAAAGUUUGUCAGAGUCUAUUUCUGUUGCUUACCAUCAAAACUCCCUGACAGGGCUUCCUACUUACUGCAGACUCGGUUUCCUUCAUGCUCUUGUCUCUGUGCCUUGUUGUCC
rnacentral:lncRNA from 1 species